CUCAUGCAGGAGGUACGGGCCCUCCUCAAAGUAGGAGCAGUGGAAGAGGUUCCUCCGGACCUAAGGGGGAAAGGGUUCUACUCCAGAUAUUUCCUCAUUCCCAAAGCAAAAGGGAGCCUCCAUCCCAUUUUGGACCUAUGCAAACUAAACAAAUUUUUGGUCAAGGCACGUUUUUGUAUGGUCUCUCUUGGCGCUAUUAUCCCAUCCCUGGAUCCGGGUGAUUGGUACGCUGCCCUCGAUAUGAAAGAUGCGUACUUUCACAUCGCCAUCCGCCCACCCCACCGGCGGUUUCUGCGCUUCACCAUCGACCAACACCAUUUUCAAUUUAUGCUCUUGCCCUUCGGCCUAGCAACGGCCCCGCGAGUGUUCACAAAAUGCAUGUCCAUGGUGGCAGCCUUUCUUCGGAAAAGAAAGAUGUGCGUAUACCCGUACUUGGACGAUUGGCUCCUCGCGGGCAGGUCGCAGGACAAAGUCCACUCCCACCUGACACUGGCACUACAGGUGUUCCGGAAGCUCGGUCUACUGGUCAAUGUACCCAAGUCCUUACUGAUCCCCAUGCAGAGACUGGAUUUCAUAGGGGCAGUCCUGGACUCGGUGGAGGCACGGGCAAGUCUUCUGGUGUCACGGUUCUUGGCCAUUCAAAGGGUCGUAAGCUCCAUCCAACAAUUCCCCAUGACCACAGCCAGAUGCUGUAUGCAACUCUUGGGGCACAUGGCAGCUUGUACACAUGUAAUCAGACAUGUCCCCCUAAGGCUCAGGCCGUUACAGUUGUGGCUGGCCCAAACGUAUCGCCCCAACAGAGACCCCUUAGACCUAGUAGUGACAAUCCCAGCUCGGGUGGCGAACUCCCUCCGCUGGUGGCUCAAUCAGCAGCAGGUUUGCGAAGGGGUCCCUUUCGCCACCCUGCAACCCACUCUGACGUUAGUAACAGAUGCGUCGGAUCUGGGCUGGGGGGCUCACCUUGGGGACCUACGGACCCAGGGCUUAUGGACCAGGGAGGAAAAGUUGCUUCAUAUCAAUUUGAAGGAGUUAAGAGCAGUUCGCCUGCCAGACCUUUCACGCUACCAUAAAAGGCCACA
rnacentral:lncRNA from 1 species